rnacentral:snRNA from 1 species
GGAGGUAGGGUCCAGCGG